GCCCCGAGCACGCCCCUCACUCCGCACCGGCCAAUGGCACCGCCCCGUCCGCCCCGCUCUGGGAACGCCGCCCUUUCUCUGUCUACAAAACCAACUUCCUCGCCCAGCUCAUGGGAACACUUAUUCUGUUGUAUAGAAUGAAGUGUUGCUUGAUUCUAGAAUCAUGCCAUUAAGAACAUUCAUGAUUCAUGAGAGGAGAUCAAAAUAUCAACAUAAACAGGAGUUUGAAAGAAGUUGAUUUCAACCCUUGUGGAUGACUAUGAGAGAUUCAAGGCUUCAGUGGAGAAUGCACCUACAGAUAUGGUGGAAACAGCAAAAGAAAUAGAAUCAGAAGUGGAGCCUGAAGAUUAAACUGAAUUGCUGCAAUCUCAUGAUAAAACUUGAACAGAUGAGGAGUUGCUUCUUACAGGGUUAGGAACUGUCAGAGUGUGGCUCAACUGAGAAACAACUUUCUGAGUAGAGGUGGGGAAAGAUGGGCUAAGAGGCUUCUGAGGUCAUGUGUUCACCAUCACUGAGGCACUGUGAUGUGUUAGGUGGGUCUGAACCCUCUGGCUUCAGAGAGAGUGCCUGUGGGGCACCAGGUAAUCCGAGACUGCAGCUCAGAGAUUACUCCAGCAAAGGGUCAGGUAUCCACACUGCCUCUGCUACCUGCCCGUUGGUCACUCACUCAUUGUUCUGAUGAUAAGAUCGACAGAUCACAAGAAGGGACAAGGCUCAUCCCAGGAGGAUCCAUGAUGCUUUAUGAAGACAGUCCCAACAGCCCAUCUCUGUCAUCCUCCAGACGUGCCAAGGCUGAAUCAUGGAGCAAACACAGCACAGGCUCAAGCUGAGACCCUGCCAUGUGACCUCCUAGUUCUAUGAAAUACCCUUCAACAAUGCAGAAUUGACAAACCCUCCCAGAACCUGAUAUAGAUACACAUAUUUAUUAUAUAAGUGUCUCAGUAAAGAAACAAUUUUCUGUAGUGCUUAGUAGCAGACUUCUGACUCCAUAAGAUGUUUCUAAGUAAAGGUUUCUUGGUCAAGGAAUUUGGAAAAUGCUCAUAGUGUAUAUGAUUCUAGGAGACUUUGGAAACACAUUAGUGCAUUCGGAAGCCCUGCAGUAGUCUGCCGCAUGACUUAUUCCAGCUUAUCCCUACAUUAUGGAAUGCUUUUGUCACUGAAUACCUUCAGAACGCAUUUUGGGAAAACUUUUAUAUAUUCGUGGCAACCCUGGAGAAAAAACUUAGAGGUAAAGUUCCCUCUCCGAGAGGCCAUAAUAAAUGUGAAAGUGUGGAAAAGAGCCCUCAUCCUCCACCUCCAAGGCUGGUGUUCUUGCCAGGAUACCAUCCUAUCAGUUCUUUCUAAAACUCUCCUGUCCCCAGUGCAAAUACUCUCAUCAUGACAAUGCCUCACUUCAGCAGGCCUUCUCAUGGAGCUGCAGGAGUUCUUUGCAAAGUCCCCCAGCCCUGGUCUAGGAAUUGGGAGUUGCCUCACAGAUGCUUUAUUGUUAUUACUGGUUACAUGUGUGAUAUGUAGCAUACAUAUCAACUACACCUUUAACCAAUAACUUUUACUUAUUUUUUAUUUGGAGAAUGAUAUAUGCUCAUUAAAGAAAAAUUGGGGAAAAAGUUGGUAAAUAAUGAAGAAGAAAAAUUCACUUCAACCUAGAAAUAGCCCAGUGAACAUGCUGGUGUCAAGGGUGUACAUACACAUAUACAUGUUUGCAUGUUUUGGGAACAAUUUGAAACAAUAUGCAUGUUUGUUACAGUUUUGGAACUGUAACAAAAAUGCACAGUUAUAGUUAUUUAUCAUGACCUUCCUGUUUUUCUUGCCAUGAUAGGUUGUGAAGAUGUUUACAUAUCAUUAAACACUCUUUGGGAUCAUACUUUUUUUUUUUUUUUUUGAGAUGGAGUCUCGCUCUGUCACCCAGGCUGGAGUGCAGUGGCGCGAUCUCAGCUCGCUGCAAACUCCGCCUCCCGGAUUCACGCCAUUCGCCUGCCUCAGCCUCCUGAGUAGCUGGGACUACAGGUGCCCACCACCACGCCCGGCUAAUUUUUUGUAUUUUUAGUAGAGAUGGGGUUUUGCUGUGUUAGCCAGGAUGGUCUUGAUCUCCUGACCUCGUAAUCCUCCCGCCUCGGCCUCCUAAGGUGCUGGGAUUACAGGCGUGAGCCACCGCGCCCAGCCGGGAUCAUACUUUUAAUGGCUGCACAAUGCUGCCUUGUAUGAACGUGUGAUGUUUCACUCAGCCAUUGGUGGUAGAGUCAAUGCCACAGGUUCUCCAUACCAUUUCCUCUCUCUGAGCACUUGGUAAGCCUUCAUUUCCAAAUCUCCCCUGCAGUUUUGAGUUCUGGACAAUGGUUGUGGACAGAAGUUAUGGAUGCCACUUCUGUGCCUGGAGUAUCUGUCCCCUCAUCAGCAACUGUUGGUGACAGAACCACAGAUUGGGAGCAGCCUGGAUCUAAAGAAUCACUGCUUGGGAGAACUCUGCUUAGACAUGUCCAGACUACAUCAGACAUUAAGUGAGAAAUGAACCUUUGUGUGCUGAGUACCGAAAUUUCGACGUUUACUUGUUACUGCUGGAUUGCUUAGCAUACACUAACAUGUCAUCACUCUAGUUACAUCUUUGGGUUUGUUUUCAAUUUAUAUUUUAAAAAUAGAGCUUCAGUACACAUAUUAA
ensembl:lncRNA TMEM72-AS1 TMEM72 antisense RNA 1